UGGACAGAUUAUUGUAUUCGACUGUAUUCACAGCGUGAAACAGGGGAUUACACUGUUUUUAAACGGAAAGUGAAUCAAUUAACAUAAUAGACUCCU
rfam:Nicotiana attenuata strain TT chromosome 12, whole genome shotgun sequence.